rnacentral:lncRNA from 1 species
AGGAAUGCCAAACUCGUCAACAAGUCCCUGCAUCCAACAAAGGUAUGUGAGCUACAUAUGCAAGUGUAUACUAGUUCCAGAGGACUGAGCUUGCAAAAUAUUUCUGUUACUGGUUAUUUUUUCAAAAAGGCAUUCUUGAUUUUAUCCACUUGCAUUGUCUGGAAUCUAGGACAAAGCAAAUUCGGAAUUUAGGACAAGGAAAAAUAUUGAUUUGGAUCAAUGGCCAAACAACAGAAUCAUUGCAACUGCAAUCUGGGAACAUCCAUUGCAGUUGGUGUUGACUAGACUCUCCCAUUAGCUGGCUCAUUCAGCUUGACUAGAGUCUAGUGUAGUACACAACUUUUUAGAGGGGCACUUGGUGUUGCCACCAAGUUCAUAACCACAUCCACCUCAAGAAAGCAAACUCUGAACAGCAAGAUUUCUGCAUCAGCACAAGGUUUGA